UACGUAGGGGCCUAGCGUUGUCCGGAUUUAUUGGGCGUAAAGAGCUCGUAGGCGGUUUGGUGAGUUGGGUGUGAAAUCUCCACGCUCAACGUGGAGGAGCCACCCGAUACUGCCAUGACUGGAGUCCGGUAGGGGAGUGUGGAAUUCCCGGUGUAGCGGUGAAAUGCGCAGAUAUCAGGAGGAACACCGGUGGCGAAGGCGGGUCUCUGGGCCGAUACUGACGCUGAGGAGCGAAAGCGUGGGGAGCGAACAGG
rnacentral:rRNA from 1 species